rnacentral:rRNA from 1 species
CAGCAGCCGCGGUAAUACAGAGGGUGCGAGCGUUAAUCGGAUUUACUGGGCGUAAAGCGUGCGUAGGCGGCUUUUUAAGUCGGAUGUGAAAUCCCUGAGCUUAACUUAGGAAUUGCAUUCGAUACUGGGAAGCUAGAGUAUGGGAGAGGAUGGUAGAAUUCCAGGUGUAGCGGUGAAAUGCGUAGAGAUCUGGAGGAAUACCGAUGGCGAAGGCAGCCAUCUGUCCUAAUACUGACGCUGAGGUACGAAAGCAUGGGGAGCAAACAGGAUUAGAUACCCCGGUAGUCCCUGUCUCUUAUAC